GCAGUCGACGAUGAAGGAGGAGCUUGCUCCUCCGGAUUAGUGGCGAACGGGUGAGUAAUACGUGAGCAAUGUGCCCUUGACUCUGGGAUAAGCGCUGGAAACGGCGUCUAAUACCGGAUACGACGACCGGAGGCAUCUCCUGGUCGUGGAAAGAACUUCGGUCAAGGAUCAGCUCACGGCCUAUCAGCUAGUUGGUGAGGUAACGGCUCACCAAGGCGACGACGGGUAGCCGGCCUGAGAGGGUGACCGGCCACACUGGGACUGAGACACGGCCCAGACUCCUACGGGAGGCAGCAGUGGGGAAUAUUGCACAAUGGGCGCAAGCCUGAUGCAGCAACGCCGCGUGAGGGACGAAGGCCUUCGGGUUGUAAACCUCUUUUAGCAGGGAAGAAGCGAAAGUGACGGUACCUGCAGAAAAAGCACCGGCUAACUACGUGCCAGCAGCCGCGGUAAUACGUAGGGUGCAAGCGUUGUCCGGAAUUAUUGGGCGUAAAGAGCUCGUAGGCGGUUUGUCACGUCUGCUGUGAAAACCCGAGGCUCAACCUCGGGCUUGCAGUGGGUACGGGCAGACUAGAGUGCGGUAGGGGAGAUUGGAAUUCCUGGUGUAGCGGUGGAAUGCGCAGAUAUCAGGAGGAACACCGAUGGCGAAGGCAGAUCUCUGGGCCGUAACUGACGGUGGGUACGGGCAGACUAGAGUGCGGUAGGGGAGAUUGGAAUUCCUGGUGUAGCGGUGGAAUGCGCAGAUAUCAGGAGGAACACCGAUGGCGAAGGCAGAUCUCUGGGCCGUAACUGACGCUGAGGAGCGAAAGCAUGGGGAGCAAACAGGCUUAGAUACCCUGGUAGUCCAUGCCGUAAACGUUGGGAACUAGAUGUGGGGACCAUUCCACGGUCUCCGUGUCGUAGCUAACGCAUUAAGUUCCCCGCCUGGGGAGUACGGCCGCAAGGCUAAAACUCAAAGGAAUUGACGGGGGCCCGCACAAGCGGCGGAGCAUGCGGAUUAAUUCGAUGCAACGCGAAGAACCUUACCAAGGCUUGACAUAUACGAGAACGCACUGGAGACAGUGAACUCUUUGGACACUCGUAUACAGGUGGUGCAUGGUUGUCGUCAGCUCGUGUCGUGAGAUGUUGGGUUAAGUCCCGCAACGAGCGCAACCCUCGUCCUAUGUUGCCAGCACGUAAUGGUGGGAACUCAUGGGAUACUGCCGGGGUCAACUCGGAGGAAGGUGGGGAUGAGGUCAAAUCAUCAUGCCCCUUAUGUCUUGGGCUUCACGCAUGCUACAAUGGCCGGUACAAUGGGCUGCGAUACCGCAAGGUGGAGCGAAUCCCAAAAAGCCGGUCUCAGUUCGGAUUGAGGUCUGCAACUCGACCUCAUGAAGUCGGAGUC
rnacentral:rRNA from 1 species